GUGCUGGUGGUGUAAUGGUAGCACACUCGGUCUGGGUUGUCCUUUAGUGCCCAAAAUUUCAUCGAGAGGUUGUCUGUUCAAUUCGGAUCCAGCACC